rnacentral:lncRNA from 1 species
UAAAACCAAUAAACCAUAGUCCAAAGCUCAUCGGCCAUAAUGAGAAUCUAUAAAUUAAAGUAUAAACAGAAACAGUGUAGAAAUUAAAAAAAAAUGUCUACAUUAAUUAAACACAAAUCCAUCAGGGUACAUAUAAUCAGCUAAAUUUAGGUUUGUGUUUCUCAAUUUCUCAUGCUGCACGACUGCACGAAAAUGUUUAACAGUAUGUAACAAUCAUUUCUUCUAAAAGAGAUAGGAGCCAUGGCUCUAUCUACCGCAGUCUGCAGGUGCUUGCUUGCACUGAGAACCCUAACAAUUAUGUUGAAAUUGAAAGUAGCUAACUAGUAUGCAGUAUGCACCCAAAAGAAAAGGAUGAACCAAUGGCACUAAUUUACACUACACAUGAUCAUCAAACUCUGCAACAAUGUCACUUCUCAGAGUAUCCAUAAACUAAAACACCCUAAUUUCCCUGUAAUCCUAUCACCAUUAACCAUCAAAUGAUGAUCAAACGCAUUAACCUACCUUCCUUCCUUCCAAUAUUAUCUACAGCACUCAAAGUUCCACUCUGAAGUCUGAACAGAGUUUCUUUGUUAGAUUUAUAACCAAUCAAUAAAUGCCACGUACAUAAUAGUGGAUCUAAACAGUCUGGUAAGUGGUA